rfam:Stegodyphus mimosarum contig120121, whole genome shotgun sequence.
GCCUUCGUGGUGUAGUGGUCAGCACACUCGACCUGUAACCGAGAGGUCCGUGGUUCGAUACCCGGCGAAGGCG